GACGAACGCUGGCGGCGUGCCUAAUACAUGCAAGUUGAGCGCUGAAGGUUGGUACUUGUACCAACUGGAUGAGCAGCGAAUGGGUGAGUAACGCGUGGGGAAUCUGCCUUUGAGCGGGGGACAACAUUUGGAAACGAAUGCUAAUACCGCAUAAAAACUUUAAACACAAGUUUUAAGUGUGAAAGAUGCAAUUGCAUCACUCAAAGAUGAUCCCGCGUUGUAUUAGCUAGUUGGUGAGGUAAAGGCUCACCAAGGCGAUGAUACAUAGCCGACCUGAGAGGGUGAUCGGCCACAUUGGGACGUGGACACGGCCCAAACUCCUACGGGAGGCAGCAGUAGGGAAUCUUCGGCAAUGGACGAAAGUCUGACCGAGCAACGCCGCGUGAGUGAAGAAGGUUCUCGGAUCGUAAAACUCUGUUGGUAGAGAAGAACGUUGGUGAGAGUGGAAAGCUCAUCAAGUGACGGUAACUACCCAGAAAGGGACGGCUAACUACGUG
rnacentral:rRNA from 1 species